GAUGAACGCUGGCGGCGUGCCUAACACAUGCAAGUCGAGCGAUUCUCUUCGGAGAAGAGCGGCGGACGGGUGAGUAACGCGUGGGUAACCUGCCCUGUACACACGGAUAACAUACCGAAAGGUAUGCUAAUACGAGAUAAUAUACUUUUAUCGCAUGGUAGAAGUAUCAAAGCUUUUGCGGUACAGGAUGGACCCGCGUCUGAUUAGCUAGUUGGUAAGGUAACGGCUUACCAAGGCGACGAUCAGUAGCCGACCUGAGAGGGUGAUCGGCCACAUUGGAACUGAGACACGGUCCAAACUCCUACGGGAGGCAGCAGUGGGGAAUAUUGCACAAUGGGCGAAAGCCUGAUGCAGCAACGCCGUGUGAGCGAUGAAGGCCUCGGUCGUAAAGCUCUGUCCUCAAGGAAGAUAAUAGACGGUACUUGUAGGAGGAAGCCCGGCGUAACUACGUGCCAGCAGCCGCGGUAAGU
rnacentral:rRNA from 1 species